UGUCUUCCCGCUGCCGCCCCACAGGGAAACAUGUUCCUUUCUCCUGUUCUUAAAUGAGAACGAGAGAGGAGCUGAGCAGCAUCAGAAGCAGCAGCAGCCCAGAAAGAAAGGGUUGGCUAGAUCAAAGGCUGGGAUCCCAUGCUGAAAUGAGUGUGGAGAACAGUGAUCAUGCCAGAUGGACAAGUUGGAACUCUGGAAAAAAGUUCAAUGGCACCUAAUCCCUUCCCUCAAGUUUGGAGAGUUCAAGGCUUUACUUCUACAUCCACUCCUUAAAAUAACUGUCACCAAUUAAUAAAAAUUAACAACAAUAUGAAGCAAACUUUAUACAAA